rnacentral:rRNA from 1 species
AUGCUAUCCAAAAGUGGUUUCACAUGGGAUGGAAGUCGAAAGAUGAUUCAGUGCGAGAAGGCACAAUAUGAAGCUCAUUGUCAGAUUCACAAGGAGGCUAAGGGAUUGUAUGGUGUAUCAUUUCCAUACUUUGAACAAUUGGCUGCUAUCUAUGGCAAAGACAUUGCAACAGGAGAAAGUGCUGAAGGCUUUGGUGAGGCAGUGGGAAACUUGGAGAAGGAAAUUGCUAUGGAGGAAGAAGAAAAUGAGGAAGAGGACAUCAUCUCAACUGGAACAGCUCGACGGUCCAUUGACACUUGCUCUAUUGAUACAACUAGUUCGAAGAGGCAGAAAAAGGAGCCAAGGCCAAAGAGGGCGACAGGACCAAGUGAUCCAUUUGCAGCCAUGCUUCAAGAUGUCAAUAGCCAGCUGAACAACAUGACACAACAUGUGGGUGCAAUGACAACAUCACUUACAGCAGCAAUGGCGCGAGAAGCAGCACAAGAAGACCCUCAACAGAAAUCAAGAGAAAAGGCAAUCAGUGAAUUGUCUAGGCUUGCAUUUACUGGGAGCGAGAUUGUUGAAGCUGCAACACUAUUCGCUAAAGCUCCAGAGCACAUGAACAUGAUGCUUGUGCUUCCAGACAUUCUGAGGAGGGACUUCGUCCUGAAAAUGCUGUCCGGUAUCCCUUUUUCUAAACUCUCUUUAAUAAUAUGCACUAUCUUAUGA